rfam:Camelus ferus unplaced genomic scaffold scaffold803, whole genome shotgun sequence.
GAGGAUAUAGCUUGGUGAUAGAGCAUGUGCUCAGCAUGCACAAGGUCCUGGGUUCAAUCCCCAGUACCUCCA